CCUACGGGAGGCAGCAGUGAGGAAUAUUGGUCAAUGGACGAGAGUCUGAACCAGCCAAGUAGCGUGAAGGAUGACUGCCCUAUGGGUUGUAAACUUCUUUUAUAUGGGAAUAAAACGUUCCACGUGUGGGAUUUUGUAUGUACCAUAUGAAUAAGGAUCGGCUAACUCCGUGCCAGCAGCCGCGGUAAUACGGAGGAUCCGAGCGUUAUCCGGAUUUAUUGGGUUUAAAGGGAGCGUAGGUGGAUUGUUAAGUCAGUUGUGAAAGUUUGCGGCUCAACCGUAAAAUUGCAGUUGAAACUGGCAGUCUUGAGUACAGUAGAGGUGGGCGGAAUUCGUGGGGUAGCGGUGAAAUGCUUAGAUAUCACGAAGAACUCCGAUUGCGAAGGCAGUUCACUGGACUGCAACUGACACUGAGGCUCGAAAGUGUGGGUAUCAAACAGGAUUAGAUACCCUUGUAGUC
rnacentral:rRNA from 1 species